UAAAAAAUCCCAUAAGACGGGGACUACCGUACUGAAGACGCCGGCUCCCCCGGUGCCGGGGGUAGAGCCGCGUCCGCCUGUGGAGCACCAAAAACAGGUGCCUCCAGCACUGUCGACUCCGGCUCCGAGGCCGUUGAGUCCGGUGCAGACAGGGUCACCACCGCGACCGGCGGUGAUACAGUGCCUCCCGUCGACCCCAGAGACCUUCGCGACGGCGAGAGACUUGAUCGCUCUCACGGAGCCGGCACCGCCCCAACCACCGGCACCGUCGGCACCGUUGACUCGUCCGGUCCAAUCCAGGGGGAAACCUGCCUUGAUGCGCCCCCCAUCGCAGGGGCUGGAACCACGGCACUGGUCCAGGUCCCAAAGCAGGUCCCCACGCCGCUCGCAGUCCCGGCGCCGGAUAUCACCUCGGCACCGGUCGUACUCGCGGCUCAGAUCAUCGUCGCGGCACCGUUCUACGUCUCGGCACCGCUAUGAUCGUCGGCACCGAUCGACAUCGAGACGUAGUUCUCGGCACCGCUACGAUCGACGCUCGACGUCGAGAGGCCGCUCCCGGCACCGGGCUUAUUCAAGAUCAAAUUCCAGGUCCAGGUCGGACUCCCGGCACCGACGCGGUCAUCGGCACCGAUCCCGAUCUCGGCACCGUUCGCCGGCACCGCACAGGGACCGUUCAUCUCUGGACCGGCACCGUACGGCACCGUACCUCCCGGAGCUCGUCUCGGCGCGGUCGGCACCGCCAUGGCCAUCUCGAUCAGUGUCCCGCUCCUCCGAUGGGGCAUCGAGAUCGGCAUACCCCCCUCAGGGACAGGCCGAUGAUCCGGACAUGGGCCACUGGCAGGAGGUAGCGGAGGAUCCCGCUCAGGGACCUUCGCACUGGUCGUUUUGGACCCCGUGGGCGUACCACCAAGCGCAAGGGGCUCCACCACCAUCAGCCUCUCGCUCGGUGCACUCUGAGCGAAGGGCCCCAGAGUCCACCAUCUCUCGUCCUCCUCCAGGGGGCAUAGAGGCCUCCGUGCCCGCACCUGACGUCCUGGACCCAGAGGCAGGUGAUGCUCCGCUCCAAG
rnacentral:lncRNA from 1 species